rnacentral:rRNA from 1 species
UACAUGCCCUUCAGUGGGGAAUAGCCCAGGGAAACUUGGAUUAAUACCCCAUGGUAUCGCAAGAUUAAAGGUGGCCAGCAAUGGCUGCCGCUGAAGGAUUGGUUCGCACCCUAUCAGCUUGUUGGUGAGGUAAUGGCUCACCAAGGCUACGACGGGUACCUGGUCUGAGAGGACGAUCAGGCACACUGGAACUGAGACACGGUCCAGACACCUACGGGUGGCAGCAGUCGAGAAUAAUUCACAAUGGGGGCAACCCUGAUGGUGCAACGCCGCGUGGAG